rnacentral:lncRNA from 1 species
GAUUUCCUGAGUGAAGAAUGGAUGGUGGGAAGUAGUGAAGGCUGCCACUAUGGAAAGUCUGGACUUCAUUCUGCAGAUAAUCAGGACUCUUGAAGAUGUAUGCCUGCCUUUGCCAAAAAGUGUCAGGAUUCUAGCAGUGAUAGUUUUCCACCAAUCAGCCAGAUAGGAAUAAUGGGAAGUUGAGAGACCAAAAUGAAGGUUAUUGAUAGGGUCCAGAUAAGAGGUAAGAACCAUAAUCUUAACCAUCUAGACCAGUGGUGUCCAAUAGAAAAGAAGUUCAAGCCCCAAGUGUAAUUAAAA